GUCUACGGCCAUACCACCCUGAACGCGCCCGAUCUCGUCUGAUCUCGGAAGCUAAGCAGGGUCGGGCCUGGUUAGUACUUGGAUGGGAGACCAAUGUACUUUUUAAA
rnacentral:rRNA from 1 species